rnacentral:rRNA from 1 species
UCCGUAGGCGGGCAAUUAAGUCAGAGGUGAAAUCCCACAGCUCAACUGUGGAACUGCCUUUGAUACUGGUUGUCUUGAGUUAUAGUGAAGUAGAUAGAAUAUGUAGUGUAGCGGUGAAAUGCAUAGAUAUUACAUAGAAUACCGAUUGCGAAGGCAGUCUACUAGCUGUAUACUGACGCUAAUGGACGAAAGCGUGGGGAGCGAACAGGAUUAGAUACCCUGGUAGUCC